AUACUUACCUGACGAGGACCAUACUGGGAUCAGGCAGCCAGUGGGUCCAGGGCGAGGCUUUUCCAUUGCACAUCGGCUUAGAAAACCCUUGCGAUUAUGUGGGUAACUGGGUGGAGUAANNN
ensembl:snRNA U1 U1 spliceosomal RNA